CUCCCCUGGCAAUAGGCAAAGAGAAACCUUGUUGAUGGUAUUCUUAUAUCAGUCAGGGCAGAGCAAAUGGAAAUCCUUUGUUUUUCCUAGCUUGAUGCCUGGUUUGAUGGUUAAAGCUGUCUUUAUGUCUAGGUCUCAUAA
rfam:Mus musculus chromosome 18, GRC primary reference assembly.